CGGAGGGCUAGCGUUGUUCGGAAUUACUGGGCGUAAAGCGUACGUAGGCGGCUUUGUAAGUUAGAGGUGAAAGCCUGGUGCUCAACACCAGAACUGCCUUUAAGACUGCAUCGCUUGAAUCGCGGAGAGGUGAGUGGAAUUCCGAGUGUAGAGGUGAAAUUCGUAGAUAUUCGGAAGAACACCAGUGGCGAAGGCGGCUCACUGGACGCGUAUUGACGCUGAGGUACGAAAGCGUGGGGAGCAAACAGGAUU
rnacentral:rRNA from 1 species